AUUUCUUCUUGCUGGAAUUUCAUCCUCAUUUCUUCUUGCUGGAUAACUAACUAAGAUGAGGCAGAAAUGAUAAGCUAGCAUUUAAUAAGUAACUAUUUUUAAAACUACUCAGAUUUAAUUUCCAAUAGUGUAAAUACCAAUAGAUACAACCCACAUAACAAACACUCUUUGGGGUCCCCAUUAAUUUGAAGAACGUAAACAAAUCCUGAGACCAAUACUUUGAGAAGGAGCUCUAAAUCGGUGCUUCUCAAAGCGGGGUCCAUGAUCCUGGGACCGUCUGUCGCAGGCCCUGGAGGAGAUACGUAUGGAAAAGGAAGGGGAGCCUUUAGAACUCUGAUAGCAACAUGACAUUUCCAUGACACUUUUACUGUUCUUAAGAGAUCAUUCCCCCAUGGAUUGGAAAUGUGAAAAACGGUUUCUUCACUGGUUCGAGAAAUACUGCUUUAUCAUCCUGGAUCUGUGAAUCUCUACGAGGUCCUUCAUAGGCUGUGUGUGAGUGGUG